rnacentral:rRNA from 1 species
AUGAACGCUGGCGGCGUGCCUAAUACAUGCAAGUCGAGCGAACAGACGAGGAGCUUGCUCCUCUGACGUUAGCGGCGGACGGGUGAGUAACACGUGGAUAACCUACCUAUAAGACUGGGAUAACUUCGGGAAACCGGAGCUAAUACCGGAUAAUAUAUUGAACCGCAUGGUUCAAUAGUGAAAGACGGUUUUGCUGUCACUUAUAGAUGGAUCCGCGCCACAUUAGCUAGUUGGUAAGGUAACGGCUUACCAAGGCAACGAUGCGUAGCCGACCUGAGAGGGUGAUCGGCCACCCUGGAACUGAGACACGGUCCAGACUCCUACGGGAGGCAGCAGUAGGGAAUCUUCCGCAAUGGGCGAAAGCCUGACGGAGCAACGCCGCGUGAGUGAUGAAGGUCUUCGGAUCGUAAAACUCUGUUAUUAGGGAAGAACAAAUGUGUAAGUAACUAUGCACGUCUUGACGGUACCUAAUCAGAAAGCCACGGCUAACUACGUG